CCUCUUCCAGGGGAUCUUCCCAACCCAGGGAUUAAACACAGGAUGCAGAUAACCAUGGCGAUUACCCUAUAAAGCCUGGUCUGUUGAAACCAGUUUCAGGAGGUAAUUUACCAAUGAGAGACCCAAAACUGCUAACCUUUCAGAGGCCUGAGGACUUUGAUCUGGGAGUCAACUAAUGUAUUUCAUAGUUACAUUCUAUCCAUUGCUUGAAGGUGAAAAGAAGCAUUCAAACUGGUCCCACUAGACAAAAAUAUGCACCGAAAUUCAGAAGAUGCUUUGGGAGCCUAGAGAAGGCUGUACAACAUAGAGUUAUUAUACUUUUCAUCCAGUGGAGACAGGAAGAGAGAGAGACAGAGAGAGGCAGUUAUCACAGCUGCAACUUCAAAUGGAGUUACAGAGAUUGCCACAUUUGUGGAGCCCGCAUCUGUGUAAACUCAAAUGUACUAUAUUUUGCUAAUAGCAAAAAAUGCAGUUGAGACAGGGAAAAAGAAAAAAAAAAGUUAUAGAAU